CCAUGUGACGAACGGAUAGACAUGA
rnacentral:piRNA from 1 species